AGGCUGAGAGCUGGCCGCUACUCCAUAUGACUAUGGGAUCAAUGGUGACCCUAUAUCGUCCGAACCUGAGAGUAGCAAAAGAUCAUAAAAAAUAUUAUAUUAGAUAAUAAAGGAUAAAAUAACUUAAUGGAGAAUUUAUAAAGUGUUAGAGUUUACCUUAUGGUAUGGGUGCCGCAGAACCAUAUAAACUGGCCACACGAGAGCUAUC
rnacentral:lncRNA from 1 species